CAGCUUGUUGGUGGGGUGAUGGCCUACCAAGGCGACGACGGGUAGCCGGCCUGAGAGGGCGACCGGCCACACUGGGACUGAGACACGGCCCAGACUCCUACGGGAGGCAGCAGUGGGGAAUAUUGCGCAAUGGGCGGAAGCCUGACGCAGCGACGCCGCGUGGGGGAUGACGGCCUUCGGGUUGUAAACCUCUUUCGGCCCCGACGAAGCGUGAGUGACGGUAGGGGUAGAAGAAGCACCGGCCAACUACGUGCCAGCAGCCGCGGUAAUACGUAGGGUGCGAGCGUUGUCCGGAAUUAUUGGGCGUAAAGAGCUCGUAGGCGGUCUGUCGCGUCGGUCGUGAAAACUUGGGGCUUAACCCUGAGCUUGCGGUCGAUACGGGCAUGACUGGAGUUCGGCAGGGGAGACUGGAAUUCCUGGUGUAGCGGUGAAAUGCGCAGAUAUCAGGAGGAACACCGGUGGCGAAGGCGGGUCUCUGGGCCGAUACUGACGCUGAGGAGCGAAAGCGUGGGGAGCGAACAGGAUUAGAUACCCUGGUAGUCCACGCCGUAAACGGUGGGCGCUAGGUGUGGGGGCCAUUCCACGGUCUCUGUGCCGUAGCUAACGCAUUAAGCGCCCC
rnacentral:rRNA from 1 species